UCAGGAUGAACGCUGGCGGCGUGCCUUAGGCAUGCAAGUCGAGCGGGCCGCAGCAAUGCGGCCAGCGGCAGACGGGUGAGUAACGCGUGAGAAUUUACCUCUGGGUGGGGGAUAGUCCGCCGAAAGGCGGGGUAAUCCCGCAUGGUCUCGUAAGAGUAAAGGCCUUAACUGGCCGCCGAGAGAGAAGCUCGCGCCCUAUCAGUUAGUUGGUGGGGUAAUGGCCUACCAAGACUACGACGGGUAGCCGGGUUGAGAGACUGACCGGCCACAAUGGAACUGAGACACGGUCCAUACACCUACGGGUGGCAGCAACCGGGAAUAUUGCGCAAUGGGCGAAAGCCUGACGCAGCGACGCCGCGUGGAGGAUGAAGGCCUUCGGGUCGUAAACUCCUUUUGAUCUGACGUCAAGUCAGAUAGAAUAAGCACCUGCUAACUACGUGCCAGAAGCCUCGGUAAGACGUAGGGUGCAAGCGUUAUCCGGAUUUACUGGGCGUAAAGCGUUUCGUAGGCGGAGCAUGCAAGUCAGUAGUGAAAGACCACGGCUUAACCGUGGAAUCGCUAUUGAAACUGCUGUUCUUGAGAAUCAAAGGGGAGGCUAGAACUGUUGGUGUAGCAGUGAAAUGCGUUGAGAUCAACAGGAAUACCAAGGGCGAAGGCAGGCCUCUGGGUGAUAUCUGACGCUGAGGAACGACAGCUAGGGGAGCGAAAGGGAUUAGAGACCCCUGUAGUCCUAGCCGUAAACGAUGCUCGCUAGAUGGAUGUCUCGUCGAAGACAAGACGCGCAGAUAGUCGCGGAUGAGAACGCAGAUAGGUCGCUGAAUCUAGAUUGAAAUGUGGGUUCAGCAAUAAAUCAGCGUGCUUAUCAGCGAGUUUCAGCGUCUCGGCUUCGCCGAGAU
rnacentral:rRNA from 1 species